GGGAGAGAGACGGAGGAGAGGUGAGGCACGGGGGAGAGGAGAGAGACGGAGGAGAGGAGAGAGACGGAGGAGAGGAGAGAGACGGGGGGAGAGGUGAGAGACGGAGGAGAGGUGAGAGACGGAGGAGAGGUGAGAGACGGGGGAGUGGUGAGAGACGGGGGAGAGGAGAGAGACGGAGGAGAGGAGAGAGACGGAGGAGAGGAGAGAGACGGAGGAGAAGAGAGAGACGGAGGAGAGGUGAGAGACGGGGGAGAGGUGAGAGAGGGGGGAGAGGAGAGAGACGGAGGAGAGGAGAGAGACGGAGGAGAGGAGAGAGACGGAGGAGAGGAGAGAGACGGAGGAGAGGAGAGAGACGGAGGAGAGUAGAGAGACGGAGGAGAGUAGAGAGAAGGAGGAGAGGAGAGAGAAGGAGGAGAGGAGAG
ensembl:lncRNA